UACGAAGGGGGCUAGCGUUGUUCGGAAUCACUGGGCGUAAAGCGUACGUAGGCGGCCCUUUAAGUCGGGGGUGAAAUCCCAGGGCUCAACCCUGGAACUGCCUUCGAUACUGGUGGUCUGGAGUCCGGGAGAGGUGAGUGGAACUCCUAGUGUAGAGGUGAAAUUCGUAGAUAUUAGGAAGAACACCAGUGGCGAAGGCGGCUCGCUGGGCCGGUACUGACGCUGAGAUACGAAAGCGUGGGGAGCAAACAGG
rnacentral:rRNA from 1 species